rnacentral:lncRNA from 1 species
AAAAAGAGCAAUCCUAGAUAGAGAAAGAGACGUUUUUUGAAAAAAUACUCCCUAAAUUCCACAUAAAUCUAGCUAUUUGUAUAUAGAUCUAUCAUCAAUUGAGUGAGAUAUCAUAGAUCCAAGACUGGAAAACUUGUCCCUCCAUUUUAAAAGGUGAAAGACUCAAUCUUUAUGUAUAUUUAAUGUAGAUUUAAUAGAUCUAGCAUAGAUCUGUUUUUUGUGACGAAAGAU